UUUAUAACUUUAUGUAUUUACUUCAUUUGCCAUUGAGGACCCACCUCAAUAAUUAAAAACUCUCAUCACUUAAACUUAAUUAAAGACAAUUAACCAUAAAAUUCUCACUCUAAUUUCUUAUACACGCACACCUCUUCUCUCUCACCAAACCUACACCCUUCUUCCCCUUCCCCUUCCCCUCUUCCCCGGCGUGGUUCCUCCUCCGGCGAGGCUCGGACCCGACCUACGCCCCUCUUCCCCUUCUCCUCUCCGGCAGCAGCUAGGUCGUCGCCGCCGCUGUGCCUCGGCUCACCGCCCCCAUCAACUCUUCUAGAUCUCUCUAGAGUGGUGCGGCGUCUCUCACCUUCUUCUUCAUCGUCUGAAAGCACCGCCUCACUGAUCUCCGAUGGAUCUGUUGCCAUAUCGCCGCCUCGCUUCUUCUUCUUCACCCUAAGCGCCGUCUCCCUCAAAUCUCCGCCUCCAUCUCAGCCCAAAACCCCAAAUCGCCGCCCCCCUCUGAGCUUGAAACCAUAAGGCGCUGCCUCCCUCGAAUCGCCGCCUCCGGCUGGUCUUGAUUCUCUCGGAGCACCACGGGAACUCGCUCUCGCCCUACCUCUCGUCGUCGUCUGCAACGCCAACUCCUUCGUCCGCUCUGCCUGCGUGAGUAGCUUCAAGGCGAAGCUGGCGCUUCUCGCACUGGUGAGGAGCUUGGUAGCGGUGGAUGGAGUGAUGCGGCAGAAGAAUGUCUUCAAUUUGGUUUGGAAUUUUCUAGAUUUGUUGCUGGAAUUUAUUGAAUUUCUUUACCCAUGAAUGCCCUAAAUUUGUUGAAUUUUCUCACUCGAUUCGUUGAAUGCCAAAAUUUGUUUGUAGUUUGUUGAAUUUGCUCAAUCGAUUUCUUUACCCAUUUGCUGAAUUUGUUGAAAUUGCUGAA
rnacentral:lncRNA from 1 species